rnacentral:tRNA from 1 species
GGGCGUUUAACUCAGCGGUAGAGUGUCAUCUUCACACGGUGAAAGUCGUAGGUUCAAACCCUACAACGCCCA